rnacentral:lncRNA from 1 species
AAACGAUGUGAGUUCUGACUCCAGUCGCUCUUCGUGCGACGGAGGCUACGCUGUUAACUUUCGAGACGGUUUUUAGUAUGGAAUACAUAUUUCGAAGAAAAUGUGAAAAGAUUUGAAAAAAGUACUUAGACAAUGGAAAGUUCUCCGCAAAUUUUUCAACACAAUUUACUGAUAACUGGUACUCGGGUCCCUAGGGAUCAACGAGCGAGCAACGAUGAGUCUCGAAUUGUCAUCACUCCUCAUUGUUGAUAUUGAAAACGAUGAUUGUUCUACAUGUGGACGUCAACAAACAUGUGAUUAGUGUUAACCGCCAAAAUGUCAAAUUUCUGUUGUGCGAAGCGACAAGCGAAAGCGAAGGAAUACCUACUAACCGUGAAAACCAGAAGUUUUUCUGUCAGUCUGUCACGAACUCACGAUUUCUUAAAGUUUUAGACGGCUUCAGAAGACUCAACCGAAGGAACACUGUACAUCAUGUGGAACGAACAGAUCAACGGGCUCAUGACGGGCCUGGCCACUCAAAUUGAAGCGUCUUUCGAACCAGUGCAUGCCAAAGUUCAAGAAAUCAAAACCUGGAUGGACCAAUUAACAGCCGACAUCAAUUCGGAGAAUUUUCAGCCUAACGCUCACUCUGAGCCAAUAGAAACAACAAGGAAAAGACAGAAAAGGACAAAAAAAAAUGCUGAAACAGGAAAAGAAACUUUGCCGGUGGAUGUAAGUCCUUUUGAUUCCAUUUUGAGCGAAUGUGGCUCAAGUAGAAUGACCCGCAGCAGUGGAGUGGCAAAAAAUGUGAACAAGGAAAGUGAUGUUAAAAUCAAUAUCAGUGAAGAAACUUUCACCAUUCCCACUCGCAGUAGUAGGGCAGCUUCAAAGGCUGCUGCCAGCAAGAUCAACUCUCAGUUAAAUUUAUCUCUAACCAAAAAACUGAGGAGACCAUCAUCUGAAGGAAGAACAGAGGCAUCCAUGGAAUUCAUUCCCCCUGUAUCUUCCACCGUGUUAGCAUGUAAGAAUGAUGGACCACUUCUCAAUGGAAGUCCUGGGCGGAGCGUUAAACAGCAAAUCCAAGUGUUCGAAAAACUCACCGCUCAACGCUCCCCGGCCCCUGAAGUAGGAGAAUCAAGUGAUAAAGAAAGUUUGCCAAAAACUCCUGCUGUACGCGUAACUCGGUCUAAGGCUCGGUUCUCAGGAAAGAUAAAAAAGAACGGCUCAGGAACUAAAACGUUAAUAAUCAAACCUAAGGUAAUGCAACUCAAGGUGAAGAGACUGUCAACUGGUGCUAAACCCAGACUUUCAGGGCCUCUUGAGAAAGAUAAAGAGGUGAAAAGUGGAGCAGGAAGCUCAAAACCACAAGCAAUCUUCCCCAGCAAGAAAGAAGAGGAAGAAACACUAAGAAAAAAAGAGAAGAAUUACUGA